GGGGAUGUAGCUCAGUGAUGGAGCACAUGCCUAGCAUGAGUGAGGCCCUGGGUCCAACUUCCAGUAUCCCUC
rnacentral:tRNA from 1 species